rnacentral:snoRNA from 1 species
CUGUAAGACAGGNAAAUAAAUCCUCUUUUGCAACCCAGAACUCAUUGUUCAGUAUGAGUUUUGAUAAAUAUAAGUAGGUAUAUU